rnacentral:lncRNA from 1 species
ACGUGCUCGUCGUCUUCGUCGUCGUCGCUCCGUUUCGAGCGUGAGAAAUAAUCAUUCGACCUCGUACGCGUAAUAUUUAUAAUUAGUUUAUGCGAAAGUGACUAUAACGCUGGGACGAUUGACAAGAAGGUUACACACGGAAGCACGUGUUGAGUAACUAAUUUUAAAACCAGAAGAGAAACAAUAAAAUUUGCGAGCCGAGAGCUCUUUCGACGAUGGGCUGGAAGAACCCUCUGUUUAUUUUCCAUUGGUUUCUGUCUUUCUGGAUGAAAUUCCUCUGCUUCCGGUAGUUCAAUUAAUCAGCAACGUCAGAUCAAAGAAAAUCCUGAGCUCGAGGAUGUCGUGAGUACAAGUUGAAGAUAAGAGUGGAGCACGUAGUCAUUAGAACGAUCACAUGCUUACGAGGAUUUCAUCUAUGAUGGACCGCCAAACGACCUUGUCUUCGCGUUAUGUAAAAGAAAUAUUAUAUCCACGAGGUUCCCAACAUUUUAUAACUGGCAGCAAUAAUAGUGGAUGAUACUAGAGGCAGUAAACGUUCAAUGAGGGAGCUUCGAGAGUUGAACUGUAAAAAGUUUUGGAUACCAGCAAAAGUUGCUCGUGUUUUAUGUAUACAAUCACAUGGUAAAUGGAAAUCGAAGCUGUUAAUACAUCCUUCAGCAGGCUUCGUCUACCGACGUACUCGGCAAAGUCAAUAGUAUUGUUUCUAGUGCCACUCCUCGAACUACUACCAACACUGUCAGUGCUAUAUCUACUUCGCAACGUAUUUGUUGAAUGAUACAUAUGUAUUUAAAUAUUAUAUAGUGUUGGAUUGAAAAUGUGAAAAAAUCAUUUUACAUUUUUCGAGUAAAUUUUCAGACUUAAUUGACUGAUUAAUUAUAUUAUUAAAAUAAUUAUAAA